CCGUGGGUCAUCUACCGUGAGGUGAGGAAUACCGGCGAGAAAUCGCCGACAAAACCGCAUAGCCUCGGUGCAAGCCGAGGAAAGCUCUCGCAAGGGAGCGCCACACGAGGAGCCUGCGCCCGAUUAGCUAGCUGGUGGAGUAACGGUUCACCAGGGCGACGAUCGGUAGCUGGUCUGAGAGGACGAUCAGCCACACUGGGAUUGAGAACGGCCCAG
rnacentral:rRNA from 1 species